CCAUGUGCCACUGCUGUGGACGUCAAUACUGCAGAACUCCCCAGCACCCCCUGCUUGAUCAUUCAAGGUGACAUGAUGAAGCCCUCUGGAUGGCUUAUAUCCAUCGAGGGACAUGUCGUGAUGGGCCCACACCCUUUCUUUACACGGAGUAGCUGCUUUCUUCAGCAGCUAUUACGUCUUCAACCUUGAGUAUCCUGUGAUGAUGAUUUCAAAACGUCUAUUGCGAAAUGCGAAUGUAUUGAAUGAAGUAGAUGAAAUUUUCUUUAAAAGCAGAACAAAAUGCUCUCAGGCCCUUAAUUGAAAAGGAUGUGUUUGUCAUACUUGCAACAGGUUUUGGUUUUAAUUUACCAACUGGCCAAUUGCGUGAAGAUGCAUUUCAGUGGCGGCGCGCGUUGAUAUGGCCUCUCAUAGUAGAAAAUCAACCACUUUGCCUCAGGGAAACCUAACCUGAGGCACCUAUCUUUGCUUAUUAACAGGUGCUUCCUGGGCAUCAAUCCUGAAAGAGGCUCAAAGACCAAGAAGCGGACAACAAUGAACCCUCAUCUCCAUCAGUAAGGAGAGGGAGAACAAGUGUCCUGGGCCCUUCAGUGAGAGCAGCAGAGAGGGAGCAUCACCUUCACCUGGAGUCCAACACCACGACAGACGGAUAACAAAACUAAAUCCAGCAGAAACGAGAAGAUGACUCAUGUUGUUUUCUUCUGUUUCUUCCAGCAGCUGAAACUGAUGAACGGCCUGACGCUUCAUUUCCACCUUCUCAUGAUUUCCUUCUACAGUCCCGCAGCAGCCUUUCCCUCAGACCAGGCUGUUGGGGACACGCCCUGAAGACUCGCUUCCAGCUGCUGCACCUGGAGGACAGCUGACACCACGAGUCCCAGCAGCACCUGUUCUGGACCAAUAAAGACCUUGUGCUGUCAGUCAUCUUCCAGGAAAACUUCAGCCACUUCCUGUUUCCCGCUCCAUAACCCCCAGCUUCUACCUCUCCAGAACACCGGGAGGGGACACGGCCCCCUCCCGAACCCGACGCCGCGGGACCGGCUCCGGGUACCCGGCCGCACGCGGGAUUCGAACCACCGCUGCGCCGUCUGCGCCUCGCGGUCGCCAUCGAACCCCACGCCGCCGCCGAGUCCCCUUCACAUCUGAACCUUUUCUCCGGGCGCUUUUAUCUUCUCACUUUGGCUGUUGGACUUCAAAAGUCACUGAGCCUCAUAAGGAUCGAACCCACAACCUCAGAGCUUCUGAGCAGCCUUCUAACACUCUGAGCUGUUUGAUCUGAGACACUGACUCUUUCUUUCUUACAGCUUUUCACUUUGUUGUUAAAGUUGAAAUAAUAAUCUUAUUAUUGUAGUUCUUCAAACUAAUCAGUAGAAUUAAUCCAUUCUCAGAUAUUCUGAGUCAAAUUUAACAAACAUAUUAAGGAUUUCUAACAAAUAGAAUUUCAUUUUGUGAAAUAAAGCUGAAUGAUAAAUUGUAAGUUGAAUUUCUAGGCUUUUAUUUUGGUAUGUCCGAGUCAAACAGUCACUAAAGUGCCGUUCAGAGAAUUGAUGAAGUUACUAUUUAUUACUGCAUCAUUUUUUAUAGUGUAGAAUAACUAAAGGUGAAAUAUUCAGAUGGAAAUGAUUUGAAACAGAGAAAAACUUUUUCUGAUAAAUAAAUGUUUGAUUUUCAAA